rnacentral:rRNA from 1 species
ACGAACGCUGGCGGCUUGCUUAACACAUGCCGGUCGAACGGAAAGGCCCUGCUUUUGUGGGGUGCUCGAGUGGCGAACGGGUGAGUAACACGUGAGUAACCUGCCCUUGACUUUGGGAUAACUUCAGGAAACUGGGGCUAAUACCGGAUAGGAGCUCCUGCUGCAUGGUGGGGGUUGGAAAGUUUCGGCGGUUGGGGAUGGACUCGCGGCUUAUCAGCUUGUUGGUGGGGUAGUGGCUUACCAAGGCUUUGACGGGUAGCCGGCCUGAGAGGGUGACCGGCCACAUUGGGACUGAGAUACGGCCCAGACUCCUACGGGAGGCAGCAGUGGGGAAUAUUGCACAAUGGGCGGAAGCCUGAUGCAGCAACGCCGCGUGCGGGAUGACGGCCUUCGGGUUGUAAACCGCUUUCGCCUGUGACGAAGCGUGAGUGACGGUAAUGGGUAAAGAAGCACCGGCUAACUACGUG